UACGGAGGGGGCAAGCGUUGUUCGGAAUCACUGGGCGUAAAGCGCGUGUAGGCGGCCCAUUAAGUCUGAUGUGAAAGCCCGGGGCUCACCCCCGGAAGUGCAUUGGAAACUGAUGGACUCGAGUCCCGGAGAGGAGAGUGGAAUUCCUGGUGUAGCGGUGAAAUGCGUAGAUAUCAGGAGGAACACCGGUGGCGAAGGCGGCUCUCUGGACGGUGACUGACGCUGAGACGCGAAAGCGUGGGGAGCAAACAGG
rnacentral:rRNA from 1 species